CUCUAAAAUUCACUUUCGUCUCUCUCUAUCUUCUUCAAUCUCAUUUCACAAACCCUAAACCAAUUUCAUUUCACAGAGAACUUAUUAAUUUACAAUCAACAGACCUCAUCGUUUCCGUUAUACUUGCUUCUUGGAGGAAAAUCAAAACAAGCGCACAAAUAUCGACAUAAAUAAACCAUUUCUAGAUCUCACCACUUUCUUCUUUAUCCAGAAACAAACACAAUCUGAUUACACAAAUGGAGCUACCGGUGAUCGAUCUACAGCCGUAUUUAUCCGCCAGUCACUCCGGCGAUCGGAGCCGUUCUCCUUAGCACCAGGUUAAUAGACAGGGAAAACGAGCUUCGGCAAUCUGCUCAAAGACCACCGUUGGAUACCUAGACAAGAUCUAAGCUUUGCAGGAGUUUCACAUCUCCAAAAGAAGCCAAAAGCUCAGAAGCAGAGGAUUAAACCUUCUCGUCACUGAAAUCAUCCCUUCUAAAUGCUGCAUGUAAUGACGAAAAGCUGGUUUGCUGGUUGGAAGGCAACUUGUGUGGCAUAACAGUCAAAGUCUAUCUUAAUCUUAGGAAAUGAAGGGAUUAUGUGAGAAACUCUUAGCAAAAACUCAAACUGUGGUCCACAUAGUAAUCAUAACCCUCGAGAUUAUCAGGUUGUUCGGGAAGAUAAUGUUGAUCCUGACAACAUGACUUAUGAGGAACUGCUCGAGUUAGGCAAGGAUGUUGGAAGUCAAAGUCAGUGUCUAUCUCAAGAUGCUAUUUCCACGCUUCCUGUUUCAAAGUUCAAGUGUGGUUUCUUCUGGAGAAAAAAAUUAAAAAAUGAGAGGCAGUCAGAAGUUCAUUUUUAUAAUUCUCUCAGUUUAACAUACGGCUGUCAGUCGUGUCGUGUUUAAAAAUGUUGUGUGCAUACAGCCUUCCGUUGUAAAUAGAUGAGUGAUUACUUGGUUCUGGAUGUGAAUCAACCCAUUAAAAGGAGUUAGGAGAUGGCGUCUUCUGAUGAGAAAGGCCUUUAUUAUCAACGGCAGAGUGUCGAAUUUGUCAGGAGGAGGAUUCCAUUGAUGCUUUGGAGACAACCGACACAUGGUUGCAAUGGCAGUCUUAAGUAUGCUCACAAGAAGUGUUGCGACUAAAAGGACUACAUAACUUGUGAGAUAAUGCCAUCAUGUAUAUUAUCUAAUCAAAUGUUUAAAACCAACAUUGUUUUAAUUCAAUGUUGAAUCACUUUUGAUCACUGAAGUAAACCCUUAAUGUUUGAUA